GAACGGGCGAUUGACGCUGAGGCACGAAAGCGUGGGGAUCAAACAGGAUUAGAUACCCUGGUAGUCCACGCAGUAAACGAUGAUAACUAACCGUUGGUUUUACGGAAUCAGUGGCCAAGCGAAAGCGAUAAGUUAUCCACCUGGGGAGUACGACCGCAAGGUUGAAACUCAAAGGAAUUGACGGGGGCCCGCACAAGCGGAGGAACAUGUGGUUUAAUUCGAUGAUACGCGAGGAACCUUACCCGGGCUCGAACGGCAGAGGAACAAUCCAGAGAUGGUGCGGCCCUACGGGGCUUCUGUCGAGGUGCUGCAUGGUUGUCGUCAGCUCGUGCCGUGAGGUGUCGGCUCAAGUGCCAUAACGAGCGCAACCCUUGCCGGUAGUUACCAGCAUGUAAUGAUGGGGACUCUACCGGGACUGCCACCGCAAGGUGUGAGGAAGGGGGGGAUGACGUCAAAUCAGCACGGCCCUUACGUCCGGGGCGACACACGUGUUACAAUGGCGGUGACAGAGGGGAGCUACCUGGUGACAGGAUGGGAAUCUCGAAAAGCCGCCUCAGUUCGGAUCGGAGUCUGCAACCCGGCUCCGUGAAGCCGGAUUCG
rnacentral:rRNA from 1 species